AAAUUGAAGAGUUUGAUCAUGGCUCAGAUUGAACGCUGGCGGCAGGCCUAACACAUGCAAGUCGAGCGGAAACGAGUUAUCUGAACCUUCGGGGAACGAUAACGGCGUCGAGCGGCGGACGGGUGAGUAAUGCCUAGGAAAUUGCCCUGAUGUGGGGGAUAACCAUUGGAAACGAUGGCUAAUACCGCAUGAUGCCUACGGGCCAAAGAGGGGGACCUUCGGGCCUCUCGCGUCAGGAUAUGCCUAGGUGGGAUUAGCUAGUUGGUGAGGUAAGGGCUCACCAAGGCGACGAUCCCUAGCUGGUCUGAGAGGAUGAUCAGCCACACUGGAACUGAGACACGGUCCAGACUCCUACGGGAGGCAGCAGUGGGGAAUAUUGCACAAUGGGCGCAAGCCUGAUGCAGCCAUGCCGCGUGUGUGAAGAAGGCCUUCGGGUUGUAAAGCACUUUCAGUCGUGAGGAAGGUGGUGUAGUUAAUAGCUGCAUUAUUUGACGUUAGCGACAGAAGAAGCACCGGCUAACUCCGUGCCAGCAGCCGCGGUAAUACGGAGGGUGCGAGCGUUAAUCGGAAUUACUGGGCGUAAAGCGCAUGCAGGUGGUUUGUUAAGUCAGAUGUGAAAGCCCGGGGCUCAACCUCGGAAUAGCAUUUGAAACUGGCAGACUAGAGUACUGUAGAGGGGGGUAGAAUUUCAGGUGUAGCGGUGAAAUGCGUAGAGAUCUGAAGGAAUACCGGUGGCGAAGGCGGCCCCCUGGACAGAUACUGACACUCAGAUGCGAAAGCGUGGGGAGCAAACAGGAUUAGAUACCCUGGUAGUCCACGCCGUAAACGAUGUCUACUUGGAGGUUGUGGCCUUGAGCCGUGGCUUUCGGAGCUAACGCGUUAAGUAGACCGCCUGGGGAGUACGGUCGCAAGAUUAAAACUCAAAUGAAUUGACGGGGGCCCGCACAAGCGGUGGAGCAUGUGGUUUAAUUCGAUGCAACGCGAAGAACCUUACCUACUCUUGACAUCCAGAGAACUUUCCAGAGAUGGAUUGGUGCCUUCGGGAACUCUGAGACAGGUGCUGCAUGGCUGUCGUCAGCUCGUGUUGUGAAAUGUUGGGUUAAGUCCCGCAACGAGCGCAACCCUUAUCCUUGUUUGCCAGCGAGUAAUGUCGGGAACUCCAGGGAGACUGCCGGUGAUAAACCGGAGGAAGGUGGGGACGACGUCAAGUCAUCAUGGCCCUUACGAGUAGGGCUACACACGUGCUACAAUGGCGCAUACAGAGGGCGGCCAACUUGCGAAAGUGAGCGAAUCCCAAAAAGUGCGUCGUAGUCCGGAUUGGAGUCUGCAACUCGACUCCAUGAAGUCGGAAUCGCUAGUAAUCGUGGAUCAGAAUGCCACGGUGAAUACGUUCCCGGGCCUUGUACACACCGCCCGUCACACCAUGGGAGUGGGCUGCAAAAGAAGUAGGUAGUUUAACCUUCGGGGGGACGCUUACCACUUUGUGGUUCAUGACUGGGGUGAAGUCGUAACAAGGUAGCGCUAGGGGAACCUGGCGCUGGAUCACCUCCUUA
rnacentral:rRNA from 1 species